rnacentral:lncRNA from 1 species
UGGAAAUCGACGGUAAUUUCUUCAUCGGCCAAUUUCAACAACUAAAAUAUAUAAACUUAAAUUAAAAUUCCGUCUUUUAAUAUUGGGGAGGCCUCUAAACCCGACGGGUAGAUUUUUCAUCAGCCCACUUUCAACAUAUAAAAUAUAUAAACUUGAAUUAAAAUUCCGUCUUUUUAAAAUGGGAGGCCUCUAAGCCCGACGGAUAGAUUUUUCAUCGGCCCAUUUCAACAACUAAAAUAUAUGAACUUAAAUUAAAAUUCCGUCUUUUUAAAAUGGGGAGGCCUCUAAACCCGACGGAUAAAUUUUUCAUCGGCCAAUUUUAACUUGUAAUGUUCAAUGUCUUUCGAACAAGAAAUGAAAAAGAUAAUAAAUUUACAAACAUAAAAUGAGAAUGAAGGCAACCGAUAAUAGAACAAUGUCCUAAUUACUGUCACAACAGAUCAAUAUGAUUUAAAGACAAUCCCAAUAAAUUAACGUAUCAAAAUAACUAUAAAACAAACUAAGAUAAAAUACAAUUAAAGUAGAUGAGAUUAACAGAAAGUACCAAUAUGCUAUAAACUAAACUAAAUUCAUAUAACUA